AGGUCAGUAGCUCAAUUGGUAGAGCACCGGUCUCCAAAACCGGCGGUUGAAGGUUCGAGUCCUUCCUGGCCUG
rnacentral:tRNA from 2 species